UGCAAGAACAGCCAGUAUUCUUAACUGCUGAGCCAUCUCUCCAGCCCCUUUGUGGUUAGUUUUUACCUCACAUAUGCGAGGCCCUGAGUUCAUCACUGGGCAGAAAAGGGGGUACUCAAGGCCCUGCCCCGUCCACUCUGCACUGCCCAGCACCCACUACCAGUCUGAAGUUCCCAUCAUGAGGUCAAACCCAUCCAGCUCCCUGAAAAGAGGUUUUCUGCCACAGACCUUCAGCUAUGGGGGUAUGUUCCUGUACCCCAGUGUCCCCAAGAGGAAAUCUUCCAAGCAGGGGGCUUGGGGCUUCACAGGGGGACCCGUUCCAGCUCCAGCGGCUCAGAGCUGAAUCCGCCUCCUCACUUUCACAGGUUCUAGGUCUGUCCUGUGUGUCCUGCGCUGAAGGCCUCCCUGGCUCUACUCUGUCUGUCUCCACCUCCAGCCUGGCCAGUAUCCACCUGUCCUACUUGCCUGUGACCCAGGGCUGUUCAUGUGACACACAAAGGAGGCCUGGCAAACAGCUACGAUUCCACUGCCCCGUAUGAGCAAGCUGCCAGCCUGGUCUCCCAUCAGCACCCAGCAGGGGACAGUGUCUCCAGGACUGUGUAGAGCCAGAAGGAAAACUCGGGGCAGGAACAGAGGACAAGGACACUACUGGCCACCCCAACCCUUUCCAUACUCCAGCUGUUCAGACCCUGGAGGCUUCAGGAACAUGGGAACCCUAACAAACAGGAUGUGAGGAGCACCUGACCUUGCUCCAAGUUGCCUCUAAAUAACCGCAGUAGAAAAGGGGGCCAGGACCCCUCCCUGAAGGCUGUGCUCCUGUAGGGAACAGGGUGGGGACAGCAGUGUUUGUAAUUUGUUGAAAUAAUCCUGCUGAACUGGAGGAAAACUAACAAAGGAGAACACAGCUCGGAAUUAAUCAAACUUCUCCCUGUCCUCCCCGCCCCCCAGCCACCCCACCUUCCAUCUUAAUGAAGGUUAUUUA